CCUAGGGCUGUACCACCCUGAACACACCCGAUCUCGUCUGAUCUGGGAAGCUAAGCAGGGUGGGGCCUGGUUAGUACUUGGAUGGGAGAAAUGAUAAUAAUAGCUAAUAUUUGCUGAGCACUUCCUGUGCGCCCAGGC
rnacentral:rRNA from 1 species